rnacentral:rRNA from 1 species
UACGUAGGGGGCAAGCGUUGUCCGGAUUUAUUGGGCGUAAAGAGCGUGUAGGCGGUUUGGUAGGUCCGCUGUGAAAACUCGAGGCUCAACCUCGAGACGCCGGUGGAAACCAUCAGACUAGAGUCCGGAAGAGGAGAGUGGAAUUCCUGGUGUAGCGGUGAAAUGCGCAGAUAUCGGGAGGAACACCUAUGGCGAAAGCAGGUACCUGGGCCAUUACUGACGCUAAGACUCGAAAGCUAGGGGAGCAAACAGG